rnacentral:lncRNA from 1 species
UGGGCUUGGGUUAAGGUGGGAUAUGAAAGGGGUAGAAAUGGUUUUUGGGUUCAGAGUCAAUGUAAUUAUUCUUUUCACUGUGUUUGUUCUAACAUAUCAUUUAAAUUUCUUUUUCUUUUUCAGAUCCGUUACUCAGUUCUUUUUGUUUUUGGUUUUAUACCCAACUGGUUGUUUCUAAUUCGGUGAGUGCUUUUCUUUGUUCCAUCAAAUUUAUCUUUUCUUUUCUCUUCCUUUUGUUUCUUUUUUUUAUGGUCAUUUUUUUCUCACUCACCUUACUUUCAGUUUCUUAUGGGGCUACCCCAAACUUAGAGUUGAACACAGCUUAAAAAACAUAACACUUUCUCUGAACAGGGUAAGGAAAUGUUUAGGCCGCGGGUUACAUUCAUGUGGUGAUAUAUACAAACAAAGGGAUACAAGCUCAAAUUGGGUGAACG